UACAGAGACUGCAAGCGUUAUUCGGAUUCACUGGGCGUAAAGGGUGCGCAGGCGGUCGUGUGUGUCAGAUGUGAAAUCCCGGAGCUUAACUCCGGAACUGCGUCUGAAACUACACGACUAGAGCAUUGGAGAGGGAAGUGGAAUUCCUGGUGUAGCGGUGGAAUGCGCAGAUAUCAGGAGGAACACCAAUAGCGAAGGCAGCUCGCUGGGACGGUACUGACGCUAAGGCGCGAAAGCGUGGGGAGCGAACAGG
rnacentral:rRNA from 1 species